CUGAGUCCUGGAGAGUAAAGAAGGUAAACUUCAGCUUCAACACAAACCAUGUUCCAUGCAUCCCUGCUGCUGCUGGCAGCUGCCUCCUGUGUUCAGGGUCAGACAUUGACUGAGUCUGGACCAGUAGUUAAAACGCCUGGAGAAUCACACAAACUGACCUAUACAGCUUCUGGGUUCACAUUCAAGAACUACUGGAUGGGUUGGAUAAAACUGGCUCCUGGGCAAGGACUGGAAUGGAUUGGUUAUAUACAUGGUACUACUGCUUACUACUCCCAGUCAGUCCAGGGUAGAUUCACCCUCUCCAGAGACGACUCCAGCAGUAAGCUGUACCUACAGAUGAACAGCCUGAAGAGUGAGGACACAGCAGUGUAUUACUGUGCCCGAUACACACAGUGA